rnacentral:rRNA from 1 species
AUUGAACGCUGGCGGCAGGCCUAACACAUGCAAGUCGAGCGCGAAAGUCUUCGGAUGAGUAAAGCGGCGAACGGGUGAGUAAUGCAUGGGAAUCUGCCUGGUAGUGGGGGACAACGUUUCGAAAGAGACGCUAAUACCGCAUACGCCCUACGGGGGAAAGGGGGGAUCUUCGGACCUCUCGCUAUCAGAUGAGCCCAUGUCAGAUUAGCUAGUUGGUAGGGUAAAGGCCUACCAAGGCGACGAUCUGUAACUGGUCUGAGAGGAUGAUCAGUCACACUGGAACUGAGACACGGUCCAGACUCCUACGGGAGGCAGCAGUGGGGAAUAUUGGACAAUGGGGGCAACCCUGAUCCAGCCAUGCCGCGUGUGUGAAGAAGGCCCUAGGGUUGUAAAGCACUUUCAGUGGGGAGAAAGGUAAUUCACCUAAUACGUGAGUUAAUUGAUGCUACCCACAGAAGAAGCACCGGCUAACUCCGUGCCAGCCGCCGCGGUAA